rnacentral:rRNA from 1 species
UUAAGCGACUAAGCGUACACGGUGGAUGCCCUGGCAGUCAGAGGCGAUGAAGGACGUGCUAAUCUGCGAUAAGCGUCGGUAAGGUGAUAUGAACCGUUAUAACCGGCGAUUUCCGAAUGGGGAAACCCAGUGUGUUUCGACACACUAUCAUUAACUGAAUCCAUAGGUUAAUGAGGCGAACCGGGGGAACUGAAACAUCUAAGUACCCCGAGGAAAAGAAAUCAACCGAGAUUCCCCCAGUAGCGGCGAGCGAACGGGGAGCAGCCCAGAGCCUGAAUCAGUGUGUGUGUUAGUGGAAGCGUCUGGAAAGGCGCGCGAUACAGGGUGACAGCCCCGUACACAAAAAUGCACAUACUGUGAGCUCGAUGAGUAGGGCGGGACACGUGGUAUCCUGUCUGAAUAUGGGGGGACCCAUCCUCCAAGGCUAAAUACUCCUGACUGACCGAUAGUGAACCAGUACCGUGAGGGAAAGGCGAAAAGAACCCCGGCGAGGGGAGUGAAAAAGAACCUGAAACCGUGUACGUACAAGCAGUGGGAGCCUCUUUAUGGGGUGACUGCGUACCUUUUGUAUAAUGGGUCAGCGACUUAUAUUCUGUAGCAAGGUUAACCGAAUAGGGGAGCCGAAGGGAAACCGAGUCUUAACUGGGCGUUAAGUUGCAGGGUAUAGACCCGAAACCCGGUGAUCUAGCCAUGGGCAGGUUGAAGGUUGGGUAACACUAACUGGAGGACCGAACCGACUAAUGUUGAAAAAUUAGCGGAUGACUUGUGGCUGGGGGUGAAAGGCCAAUCAAACCGGGAGAUAGCUGGUUCUCCCCGAAAGCUAUUUAGGUAGCGCCUCGUGAAUUCAUCUCCGGGGGUAGAGCACUGUUUCGGCAAGGGGGUCAUCCCGACUUACCAACCCGAUGCAAACUGCGAAUACCGGAGAAUGUUAUCACGGGGAGACACACGGCGGGUGCUAACGUCCGUCGUGAAGAGGGAAACAACCCAGACCGCCAGCUAAGGUCCCAAAGUCAUGGUUAAGUGGGAAACGAUGUGGGAAGGCCCAGACAGCCAGGAUGUUGGCUUAGAAGCAGCCAUCAUUUAAAGAAAGCGUAAUAGCUCACUGGUCGAGUCGGCCUGCGCGGAAGAUGUAACGGGGCUAAACCAUGCACCGAAGCUGCGGCAGCGACACUAUGUGUUGUUUGGGUAGGGGAGCGUUCUGUAAGCCUGUGAAGGUGUGCUGUGAGGUAUGCUGGAGGUAUCAGAAGUGCGAAUGCUGACAUAAGUAACGAUAAAGCGGGUGAAAAGCCCGCUCGCCGGAAGACCAAGGGUUCCUGUCCAACGUUAAUCGGGGCAGGGUGAGUCGACCCCUAAGGCGAGGCCGAAAGGCGUAGUCGAUGGGAAACAGGUUAAUAUUCCUGUACUUGGUGUUACUGCGAAGGGGGGACGGAGAAGGCUAUGUUGGCCGGGCGACGGUUGUCCCGGUUUAAGCGUGUAGGCUGGUUUUCCAGGCAAAUCCGGAAAAUCAAGGCUGAGGCGUGAUGACGAGGCACUACGGUGCUGAAGCAACAAAUGCCCUGCUUCCAGGAAAAGCCUCUAAGCAUCAGGUAACAUCAAAUCGUACCCCAAACCGACACAGGUGGUCAGGUAGAGAAUACCAAGGCGCUUGAGAGAACUCGGGUGAAGGAACUAGGCAAAAUGGUGCCGUAACUUCGGGAGAAGGCACGCUGAUAUGUAGGUGAAGUCCCUUGCGGAUGGAGCUGAAAUCAGUCGAAGAUACCAGCUGGCUGCAACUGUUUAUUAAAAACACAGCACUGUGCAAACACGAAAGUGGACGUAUACGGUGUGACGCCUGCCCGGUGCCGGAAGGUUAAUUGAUGGGGUUAGCGGUAACGCGAAGCUCUUGAUCGAAGCCCCGGUAAACGGCGGCCGUAACUAUAACGGUCCUAAGGUAGCGAAAUUCCUUGUCGGGUAAGUUCCGACCUGCACGAAUGGCGUAAUGAUGGCCAGGCUGUCUCCACCCGAGACUCAGUGAAAUUGAACUCGCUGUGAAGAUGCAGUGUACCCGCGGCAAGACGGAAAGACCCCGUGAACCUUUACUAUAGCUUGACACUGAACAUUGAGCCUUGAUGUGUAGGAUAGGUGGGAGGCUUUGAAGUGUGGACGCCAGUCUGCAUGGAGCCGACCUUGAAAUACCACCCUUUAAUGUUUGAUGUUCUAACGUUGGCCCCUAAUCGGGGUUGCGGACAGUGUCUGGUGGGUAGUUUGACUGGGGCGGUCUCCUCCUAAAGAGUAACGGAGGAGCACGAAGGUUGGCUAAUCCUGGUCGGACAUCAGGAGGUUAGUGCAAUGGCAUAAGCCAGCUUGACUGCGAGCGUGACGGCGCGAGCAGGUGCGAAAGCAGGUCAUAGUGAUCCGGUGGUUCUGAAUGGAAGGGCCAUCGCUCAACGGAUAAAAGGUACUCCGGGGAUAACAGGCUGAUACCGCCCAAGAGUUCAUAUCGACGGCGGUGUUUGGCACCUCGAUGUCGGCUCAUCACAUCCUGGGGCUGAAGUAGGUCCCAAGGGUAUGGCUGUUCGCCAUUUAAAGUGGUACGCGAGCUGGGUUUAGAACGUCGUGAGACAGUUCGGUCCCUAUCUGCCGUGGGCGCUGGAGAACUGAGGGGGGCUGCUCCUAGUACGAGAGGACCGGAGUGGACGCAUCACUGGUGUUCGGGUUGUCAUGCCAAUGGCACUGCCCGGUAGCUAAAUGCGGAAGAGAUAAGUGCUGAAAGCAUCUAAGCACGAAACUUGCCCCGAGAUGAGUUCUCCCUGACUCCUUGAGAGUCCUGAAGGAACGUUGAAGACGACGACGUUGAUAGGCCGGGUGUGUAAGCGCAGCGAUGCGUUGAGCUAACCGGUACUAAUGAACCGUGAGGCUUAACCUU